CAUUGUUGAAAAAUGGUUGUUCGUAGUAUAGAGAAUUGUUGCUGGCCUGUUUAAAAGGGUAUUGUGCACGUUCGAUAGGCUACGUUCUACACUGUUCUCCACCUGUGCAUCUUUGUAGGCUUGGGAGGUUGUCGAAUCAACCAAGUCUAUGUCUAUAUAAUCUCUUGUAUGUCUUGAAUGUGAUUGACUUAUAGGACGGCAAGUCCUUUAAACAUUGAAACAACUUUCAACAACGGAUCUCUUGGCUCUCGCAUCGAUGAAGAACGCAGCGAAAUGCGAUAACUAAUGUGAAUUGCAGAAUUCAGUGAAUCAUCGAGUCUUUGAACGCACCUUGCACCCUUUGGUAUUCCGAAGGGUAUGCCUGUUUGAGUGUCAUUAAAUUCUCAACCUCUCGUUCUUAUUGAAUUGAGUGGAUUGGAUAGUUGGGGGUUUGCUGGUGGGGUUUUAUCAGCUCCUCUGAAAUGGAUUAGCUAGCAAAGUUUAGCUGCUAAGGCUGUGAUAAUAUCUAUGCCUGAGUGGUGUUUAUGUGUUAGCUUCUAACGGUCGAAUGGACAAUUAUUGACUAUUUGACCUCAAAUCAGGUAGGACUACCCGCUGAACUUAAGCAUAUCAAUAAGCGGAGGAAAAGAAACUAACAAGGAUUCCCCUAGUAACUGCGAGUGAAGAGGGAAAAGCUCAAAUUUAAAAUCUGGCAGCUAAGCUGUCCGAGU
rnacentral:rRNA from 1 species